rnacentral:rRNA from 1 species
AUUGAACGCUGGCGGCGUGCCUAACACAUGCAAGUCGAGCGGUAACAGGCGUAGCAAUACGUGCUGACGAGCGGCGAACGGGUGAGCAAUGCUUCGGAAUCUGCCCAAUGGUGGGGAAUAACCAGUCGAAAGAUUGGCUAAUACCGCAUACGCCCUAACGGGGAAAGCGGGGGUCGCAAGACCUCGCGCCGAUGGAUGAGCCGAAGUCGGAUUAGGUAGUUGGUAGGGUAACGGCCUACCAAGGCGAGGAUCCGUAGCUGGCCUGAGAGGACGACCAGCCCAACGGGGACGAAGAAACGGCGCAGACUCCUACGGGAGGCAGCAGUGGGGAAUAUUGGAAAAUGAGGGAAACCCUGCUCCAGAGACGCGGCUUGUGUGAAGAAGGCCUGCGGGUUGUAAAGCACUUUUAGUGGGGAUGAAAAGCAAAUUGCUAAUACCAGUGUGUCUUGACCUAACCCAAAGAAAAAGCACCGGCUAACUCUGUGCCAGCAGCCGCCGUAA